GUGGCUCCUUUUGUUUUGCAUUAUCAGCUGAAACGGCGAUGGACUUGACUGAUUUUGCUCACAUUGAAGGCGUUUAUUCAAGGCGACCUGAUCUAAUUUGCCUGCCUGGUCUGUAUAUAACAGACAGGGAUCUGCUGCAGCUGCAGAGACCUCUCCUCAAAGACCGUCUGUGCUGAUCUUCAACCACAAGUCCUCUCUGAACUCGUCGGUGGAAACUCAAAAGCAGUCAUGAAGACCCUGUCCGCCUGCUUCCUGUUGGUGCUGCUGUCUGCUGUAGGACACACAGAGGCUCAGUUUCAGAGGCAAGUGGUCGGCGCCAUGCAGCCUGCGCAGUGCCGGGAAAAAAUGGCAGAAAUCCACGAAGAUUGCUUUCACUCUGACACCUUCAUUGUGACUGAUGAAGCUGGAAGGGCUAAGAUCAAUGCACUCUGUCAAGGUGUCGACGGAGACAUGAAAACCUUCAGUAAAGACGUUUUUAAGAUUGUUGAUUGUACACGCAAAACCGAAAACCCAUGUGUCUAUGAAGGCGUAGUUAACACCAAGUCAAAGCUGAAACUAAAGUGUCAGAAGAAUGUGCCUGUUAAGUUCUUGGGUGCAGCGAGAAAUUAAUCUGUACUUCAUCUGCAGACACAGUUCAUGUGUGACAGAAGCUUGAUGGAAAAACUGAAAUAAAUGAAGCUCACAAACUUAAUCUUUUCCCUUAUUUCACUAUCAAAGCUUUUCUUAAUGUGUUGCUAAUGGAA